UACGUAGGGGGCAAGCGUUGUCCGGAUUUAUUGGGCGUAAAGAGCGUGUAGGCGGCCAGACAGGUCAGCUGUGAAAACUCGAGGCUCAACCUCGAGACGUCGGUUGAAACCGUCUGGCUAGAGUCCGGAAGAGGAGAGUGGAAUUCCCGGUGUAGCGGUGAAAUGCGCAGAUAUCGGGAGGAACACCGGUGGCGAAGGCGGCGACCUGGGACGAUACUGACGGCUGAGGUGCGAAAGCGUGGGGGAGCAAACAGG
rnacentral:rRNA from 1 species